rnacentral:rRNA from 1 species
AUGAACGCUAGCGGCAGGCUUAAUACAUGCAAGUCGAGGGGCAGCACGGGUAGUGAUACCUGGUGGCGACCGGCAAACGGGUGCGCAACACGUACAGAACCUUCCUUUAAGCGGGGGAUAGCCCAUAGAAAUGUGGAUUAAUACCCCAUGGUAUAAUUGUCUGGCAUCAGAUGGUUAUUAAAGAUUUAUCACUUAGAGAUGGCUGUGCGUCUGAUUAGGAGUUGGUUGGGGUAAAGGCUCACCAAGCCUUCGAUCAGUAACUGGUGUGAGAGCACGACCAGUCACACGGGCACUGAGACACGGGCCCGACUCCUACGGGAGGCAGCAGUAAGGAUAUUGGUCAAUGGACGCAAGUCUGAACCAGCCAUGCCGCGUGGAGGAUGAAGGCCCUCUGGGUUGUAAACUUCUUUUAUCUGGGACGAAACCUACCCUUUUCUAAGGGUGUUGACGGUACCAGAGGAAUAAGCACCGGCUAACUCCGUGCCAGCCGCCG